GUAGCAAAGUCCUGGUACUCAGAUGGCCACUCAUGGUGGCCUCCAUACAAAGACUUGGACCGGUUACUAAAGAGCGUCAGGUUGAUGGAGGCACCACAGCCAGAUAAGGGUUGGACCAAGCAUCAGGCCAGAAUUCUACAUGAGUCGGCAUCAUUUGACAACAUUUCCAAAAAAUGGAAAAGGGCAUGCUACACUUCUGACAUCUCAGAAUCUGAAAAUUCUAUAAAAAGAAUUCACAAAAAGAAAACAUUCUCAUCAGAUGAUGAGCUUCAUGAAACCCCCAACAAAAAAGUUAAGUUAAAAUGAAUAGAGACAAAAAUCCACCUACACCAAAAAUCCAGCCCGCACCAAAAGUCCCGCCUGCACCAAAACCUCCAGCACCUCUAAAAUACAUCAAGACAAAAGGUCCUGUUGUACGACCUCUGCUUACAACAAGCAAAGCAGUGAACUCUUUCAGCAAUUGUGAGUUUUAAAUUGAGAAAACUGAUAUUUGUGGAUGUUUUGUUCCAUGCUCAAGAAUGUUCCUUAGCCAUGGUAAGAUCAAUGUAUA